rnacentral:rRNA from 1 species
AAGAGACAGCAGUAGCCACGGUAAUACAGAGGGUGCAAGCGUUAAUCGGAUUUACUGGGCGUAAAGCGUGCGUAGGCGGCUUCUUAAGUCGGAUGUGAAAUCCCUGAGCUUAACUUAGGAAUUGCAUUCGAUACUGGGAAGCUAGAGUAUGGGAGAGGAUGGUAGAAUUCCAGGUGUAGCGGUGAAAUGCGUAGAGAUCUGGAGGAAUACCGAUGGCGAAGGCGGCCCCCUGGACAAAGACUGACGCUCAGGUGCGAAAGCGUGGGGAGCAAACAGGAUUAGAUACCCCGGUAGUCCCUGUCUCUUAUAA